rnacentral:rRNA from 1 species
AGAAUCAACGCUGGCGGCGUGCCUAACACAUGCAAGUCGAACGAGAAAGUGGAGCAAUCCAUGAGUAAAGUGGCGCACGGGUGAGUAACACGUGACUAACCUACCCUUGAGUGGGGGAUAACCUAGAGAAAUCUGGGCUAAUACCGCAUAAUACCUUCGGGUCAAAAGGAGCAAUUCGCUUAAGGAGGGGGUCGCGGCCGAUUAGUUAGUUGGCGGGUAAUGGCCCACAAGACUAUGAUCGGUA